UUCGGUUGAUCCCGCCGGAGGCUACCGCUAUUGGAGUUCGAUUAAGCCAUGCGAGUCGCGAGUCUUAGGGACUCGGCGUACCGCUCAGUAACACGUGGGUAACCUGCCCUAUGCUGGGGGAUAACCUCGGGAAACUGAGAAUAAUACCCCAUAGUUCACCACGCCUGGAACGGUGGGUGGACCAAAGCUCCGGCGGCAUAGGAUGGGCCUGCGGCGUAUCAGGUUGUAGGGGGUGUAAUGUACCCUCUAGCCCUCUACGCGUACGGGUGUUGAGAGACAUCGCCCGGAGAUGGAUUCUGAGACACGAAUCCAGACCCUACGGGGUGCAGCAGGCGCGAAAACUUGGCAAUGCGAGAAAUCGUGACCAGGGAACUCCAAGUGCAUCGGGUAAGACCGAUGCUUUUCUUGACUCUUCAAAGGUCUUGGAAUAAGGGGUGGGUAAGGACGGUGCCAGCCGCCGCGGUAAUACCGGCGCCCCAAGUGGUAGUCGCUUUUAUUGGGCCUAAAACGUCCGUAGCCGGUCUGGUACAUUCGUGGGUAAAUCAACCAGCUCAACUGGUUGAAUUCUGCGAGCACGGCCAGACUUGGGACCGGGAGAGGUGUGGGGUACUCUCAGGGUAGGGGUAAAAUCCUGUCAUCCUGAGAGGACCACCUGUUGCGAAGGCGCCACACUAGAACGGAUCCGACGGUCAGGGACGAAGCCUAGGGGCACGAACCGGAUUAGAUACCCGGGUAGUCCUAGGUGUAAACGCUGUGGACUUGAUGUUGGGAGUGCUCCGAGCACCCUCAGUGUCGAAGCGAAGGUGAUAAGUCCACUGCCUGGGGAGUACGGUCGCAAGGCUGAAACUUAAAGGAAUUGGCGGGGGAGCACCGCAACCUGAGGAUUGUGCGGUUUAAUUGGAGUCAACGCCGG
rnacentral:rRNA from 1 species